ensembl:lncRNA
UGAAGUUUGAAGCAAAUCGAGUAAAAAUAAGAUGCUGAAUUCAAAGCAUUUUGAAAAUGACACACUUCCUGCUGCCAGUUGGUGGCGCUGUAACUUUGACUCCUAAUAGUCACAUAUAUGCGAUCGGCAUCAUACAUCGAACAAACCGAUGAAGUUUGAUCAAACUCAGGUAAUGUAUGUGAAUGUUAUUAGACAUUUCCUGUUACUCAUUUCUCGCCAUAAUUUCAACGCCUCGCCACGGACAAACCGUUCGAGAUAUCAAAAAUAUCUUCGCAAUUUAGCAUCCCCAAUGUCUUGAGAUCAUGUUCACCGAUUUUUGUGGCGAACGGGUGGAGUUCCUCAGAGGAGUAUAU